CGCGUAGGUGGCCGAGCAAGGUCGCGGUGAAAGCCCGGGGCUCAACCCCGGGUCGGCCGUGGCAACUACUUGGCUUGAGCACUGUAGGGGCGGGUGGAAUUCCGGGUGUAGCGGUGGAAUGCGUAGAGAUCCGGAAGAACACCGGUGGCGAAGGCGGCCCGCUGGGCAGGAAGGCUCGCAAGAGCCGGCUGACACUGAGGCGCGACAGCGUGGGGAGCAAACAGGAUUAGAUACCCUGGUAGUCCACGCCGUAAACGAUGGGCACUAGGUGCUUGGGGGAGCGACCCUCCGAGUGCCGGCGCUAACGCAUUAAGUGCCCCGCCUGGGGAGUACGGCCGCAAGGCUGAA
rnacentral:rRNA from 1 species